GACGAACGCUGGCGGCGUGCUUAACACAUGCAAGUCGAGCGGUAAGGCCCUUUCGGGGGUACACGAGCGGCGAACGGGUGAGUAACACGUGGGUGACCUGCCCUUAGCUCUGGGAUAAGCCUGGGAAACUGGGUCUAAUACCGGAUAUGACUCCAUAACGCAUGUUGUGGGGUGGAAAGCCUUGUGCGGCUAGGGAUGGGCCCGCGGCCUAUCAGCUUGUUGGUGGGGUGAUGGCCACCAAGGCGACGACGGGUAGCCGGCCUGAGAGGGCGACCGGCCACACUGGGACUGAGACACGGCCCAGACUCCUACGGGAGGCAGCAGUGGGGAAUCUUGCGCAAUGGGCGAAAGCCUGACGCAGCGACGCCGCGUGGGG
rnacentral:rRNA from 1 species